UACGAAGGGGGCUAGCGUUGUUCGGAAUUACUGGGCGUAAAGCGCACGUAGGCGGAUCGAUCAGUCAGGGGUGAAAUCCCAGAGCUCAACUCUGGAACUGCCUUUGAUACUGUCGAUCUAGAGUAUGGAAGAGGUGAGUGGAAUUCCGAGUGUAGAGGUGAAAUUCGUAGAUAUUCGGAGGAACACCAGUGGCGAAGGCGGCUCACUGGUCCAUUACUGACGCUGAGGCGCGAAAGUGUGGGGAGCGAACAGG
rnacentral:rRNA from 1 species